rnacentral:rRNA from 1 species
GUAGGUGGCAAGCGUUGUCCGGAAUUAUUGGGCGUAAAGCGCGCGCAGGUGGUUCUUUAAGUCUGAUGUGAAAGCCCCCGGCUCAACCGGGGAGGGUCAUUGGAAACUGGGGAACUUGAGUGCAGGAGAGGAAAGUGGAAUUCCACGUGUAGCGGUGAAAUGCGUAGAUAUGUGGAGGAACACCAGUGGCGAAGGCGGCUUUCUGGCCUGUAACUGACACUGAGGCGCGAAAGCGUGGGGAGCAAACAGGGAUUAGAUACCCUGGUAGUCCACGCCGUAAACGAUGAGUGCUAAGUGUUGGGGGGGUUUCCCGCCCCUCAGUGCUGCAGCUAACGCAUUAAGCACUCCGCCUGGGGAUACGGUCGCAAGACUG